rnacentral:rRNA from 1 species
GUCUAUAGCCAUGCCAUCCUGAACACACCUGAUCUCGCCUGACCUCGGAAGCUAAGCAGGGUCAGGCCUUGUUAGUACUUGGUUGGGAGACCACCUAGGAAUACCAAGUGCUGUAGGAG